UACGUAGGGUGCAAGCGUUAAUCGGAAUUACUGGGCGUAAAGCGUGCGCAGGCGGUUUUGUAAGACAGAGGUGAAAUCCCCGGGCUCAACCUGGGAACUGCCUUUGUGACUGCAUCGCUGGAGUGCGGCAGAGGGGGAUGGAAUUCCGCGUGUAGCAGUGAAAUGCGUAGAUAUGCGGAGGAACACCGAUGGCGAAGGCAAUCCCCUGGGCCUGCACUGACGCUCAUGCACGAAAGCGUGGGGAGCAAACAGG
rnacentral:rRNA from 1 species